CCACAUCUCCAUCUUACAAGACACCUCCCUCUGGACCUUGCUGCCUCUCCCUGGCCUGGACACUCAGCACCAAUCAUAAGGGCCUGUGCUUUGCACCCACACCCAAUCUAGGGAAGGAAACAGCUCAGGGCACAUGUUGGGAAGACUUGGGAAGGCAGCGGCAACCCUCAGGUGUCCAUCCAUAAAAUGGAGUGUUGGAGAGCCAGGCAGUGCCUCUCAGGCCUCCCUCCUUCCCUCCCUGGCCCAGCCCCCUCAGGUUUCCCCAGUGCCUCUGUCUUCGCUCAGCCCCCUGCCUGUGUUCCACUGGGGGCUUCUUGGUUUCUUGUAAAAGAUGAGAUUCUAGUAACCUCGAAGUUUAUUCCCACCUUAUUUCAUAAACACAACAGGGAAAUGCCAAUGACACGCAAGCCGUUCCUCAAACCACCUUGUUUUUGAGCUCUGCGAUGGAAACACACCACUUCCUUCCACUGAGUCAGGCCGGCUGCGCCUCCCUCUUGCAGAGCCGUCCCGGCAGCUGCCUGGUGCCAGCUAAACAGGAUCACACAUCACUGUUUCCACUAAGAAACUUCACUCUCCUGGUGGAACUCAAUCAUUGAAAAGGCUGUGGGUUGGUGUUUUGUUGUUAUUGUUUGGUUUGGGGUUUUUUUCAAAUUGCAUAAGUCACUAAAUAGACUAAAAGAGGUGAAGUAGAUGUGCUCACUGCUCUUCACACCCCUAGGCAGCCCUGGCCGUCUCACCAGCACUCCCCACUCAGGAGACUCCUGGAUGUAACUGUUUCAGUCCAAAUUGGGAAACGGGAAGUAUAAGCAAAAGUUGAGCCGGGAGACAAGCCAGGAAGUGCAAGAGAUGGGGAGCAGGACAGGCAGCUUGGCAAGAGGGGAUGCAGGGGCCCCUUCUCGUCAUUUUCAAUCAUGUAUGCCUUCCUUUUUGCCAAAUUCUGUAGGUUCUAGAACUGCUCAGGUGCUGCAGCUGGACAGGAAUUCUCUCUCUCAUGUUGGCCCCUGCUCAGGGCCCUUCAUCCUUGCCCAUGAAUGGGCGAUAUCUAUCUCAAUUUCCCCUUCAGGAGUUACCCUGCCUUGUGCACCAUCUCUCCUCCCAUUUGCAUCUUCUCAUUCUCCACCCUUCCCAACAUGCAGCCCUGUAAAG
rnacentral:lncRNA from 1 species